rnacentral:lncRNA from 1 species
GUGUUGUGAGCUCCCUGGAGUUACGUUCUUGCCAGUUUCAGCUCAAUUGAUCCCCCUCCCCUGAGCUAUCAUUGGAUACAUUUUACUUCAUUGAACACCUGACUGCUGCUUUUUCUGUAAUCCCUCAGGGGCAGUCAUCUUUUCUGAUUCUGUGUAUAGUUUGCCUUUCCAGAUCCGUGCCAUUUAAGCUAGAAAAGGGGUCAGUUUUGAGAUGUUGUGAAAAUGUUGAAAGGCUCCUCGUUAUUAGUGGGAAGUAUCUGAUGUUGCCAGAGACUGAACUGGGGCGCGGGGAGCACUACGGCUGCUAGACACUGCCUCACUGCGCUGUGGGUGGUGGGGGGGGAGGUGCUGGAUUCAGUCUUACUGCCUAAUGAUUUGUGAGGAUUUGUGUUUUCAGAGUAACAUGUUUACCUUAUGUUAUCAGUUCCUAAUAUGUGACGUAUGGGCCACAGAUGCUGGUGUAUUAUUUCACAUGCAUUUAUAUAGAUUGUUUUCAGGGAAUUCAGAAAUUCUGUUAUCUCUACACUAGUGAUUGUGCUUUCUUGAUUUUUCUCUUUUCAUUAUUCUUAAAUCCUCCUUUUUUUAUUUGCAUCUCAGUUUAUUUAUACUCGGGAAGUGCAAGACAUGGCGACUAGAAAGAGAUGUCAAGAGAACCCGGAAUCCAGUAGGCUACAAUUUGGCAAAUCUUAGCUUAAAACUUCCUAAAUGUUGACCACAGUGGAUGCAAAUGGCUCUGUGCAUCGUCUGUUCAAUAUGGUCAGGUGACCACCCAGGUUCACGUGGUUUGUCACCAGGGUGAUACGAGCCACACGGAGUGCCCUCCUCAGAGGCCAUGUCUCAGAGACGUUUAUUUUGAGUGGUUUUCCAGCGAGUGAUGCAAGAUUUAUGAUCCAUUUUAACAGCUGCUUUUUAUGCAUUUGCUCAAAUUUUUAGAUUUUAAGUUUAGUUUUAGGUUUUCUGUUAAUUUGCUCAACUAGGAGUGGUGGUCAAAUACUGGACCUCAUUAGCAUGGUAGCCUGCCCUCCUUGGCAGGCUCCACUGGAGUGCCUUGGGGCCUGCCUGGAUUCCAGUCCUGGCUCUACCAGUUUUGUGUCCUCGCCGUUACUGGGAGGGAGUAUUGAGGAAAUGCAUGCGAGGUGCCUCCGUGAUUCCUGGCACGGAGCAAGUGCUCAGUAAUUGUCAGCUGUGAGUAUUAGUAGUAGCUAAUACACUACUACUAUUCUUGGCUAACAAGCCAGCUCAAAGCUUUGAUGGUUUUCCAUUACCUGAUGAUGGUGAUGAUGGUUUCCACUUCCUGAACACUCACACCCCUGGGCUAGGCACUUAACCCAAAUCCAAGGUCAGCGUUAUUGUUUGGAGGUGGGGGAGACACCUCCUGCUCUGACUCGUGUGUUUGGGUUCCCGUAUUUUCACCAGAGGGUGUUAGUCCUGCCCCAGUUCAGCUGGUCCUCAAAGCGUAUAUAGCUCUUUAACCCUCAGCAAGUGUCAGUCAGAACAUAAUCUUGAUUUCAGCUGCUACUAAAUAUCUACCAGGAGCCUGCUUGAGAGAGAGAAUUGCCUGACAGGUGCUGAGUCCACCAUUCCUGAGAUACUUUGAAAUCAGUGUCUGGCUUAACCCAAGCUGUGUAUGGGGACCCUCUCACCGUGGUCCCAAUGGAGUCGCUUUUGUUAGGCGCCCCCCUUUACCUUGGGCUCUGAGCUUCCUCUGCCUUUCAUCUCUGCAGGAUGAAGCCCCACUCGCCCUUCAGGAUGCAAAGCCCUCCUCUAUAAAGUGCAUGCGGGGCCAGAUGCAGUGGCUCACGUCUGACCUCCCAACACUUUGGGAGGCCGAGGCAGGGGGAUCGUUUGAGACCAGCCUGGACAACAUUGUGAGACCCUGUUCCUUGAAUUGCCCUGGGAGAUUUCCUCAGCUUGUACUGGAGGUGUGUGGCCCCAUGAAGCCCAUAGUCACCGUUCACCCUGAGAGACGCUGGCUUUGGGGCUGACACACCUGCUGCGGGGCAGCCCCAGGAGAUGGCCACCCUGUUUCUCCUGGAGCUGGAGCUGCGCGUCUUCUCAGAAACUGUGGUGGCUGUCCUGUUUUGUUUGCAUCUUAUAAACCUUUACCUGAUUACAUUUUCCUCUUCAAUUUAGCUGCUAGAAAACUUAAAGUCAGAUUGGUGGCUCACCAGUAAUGAGAGUUUAGAGUAGAGGUAAACUUUAUGACAUAGUCUUAGACUCUUCACUUUCUCCUCAGCCAACAUGAUUCACAUUUACUUUAUUUUGCUGUACUGUGAGUGUCUUUGUGUUUCCUGAAUUCCUUCUGGAAUAAGGCAGGUUGUUAGUAAGCACAGGUUUCUGGUCCAUCUCAUAGCCUCAGGCAGUGGGCGGUGCUGUCCGUGCUCCCUUUCUGGGUUACCUGUGGUAGCUCUGAAGUUGCAGGGCUGCGAUUUGAAGCCUGAUUUAGUACACCGUGUUUCUGUUGUGUUCUGUGGUGGUUUGCUCCUCACAUGUGAGCAUUCACCCUGUGGCCCUGUGUUUUUCCACCACACCUCUGCCUGGUGGCAUCCUACUGGAUGUCUCAGCUGAGCCACUCUGUUCUGAAGAUGCCCUUGUCCUCCACCCCUUUGCUUUGGGCUCUGAGCUUCUUCUGCCUUUCAUCUCUGUAGGAUGAAGCCCCACCCGCCCUUCAGGAUGCCAGCCUUGGCAACAUUUGCUUGUAUUGUAGGUGAAACCGCACUGAGAAGGUAUUUGUGGCCCGUAUGCUGAUUGAUUGAUGAGACUUCUUUGCACAGGAGAGCUGCUAAAAAUUAUUACGGUGAACAGGUAUGAAGAAGACUGUUCUCUGCCCUUCUUUUUGCAAUAAAAUGUUACAAACUAUCUUGAGAUUGAUCCCUUUUCGGGUGUUUGGGUUUUUUUUAACAUUCACAUAUUUCUUGGAAUUAUAAGAAAUUAACUUUGUGCUUCUGAAGUGGGUUUCCCUUAAUAUAACACUGAUGUAUUUGUAAGGGGCAUUUUUAAAGUUGUACUUUAAAAAAUAAUAAUUCUUACAUUCGUUUGAA